AAAGAAAAGCAGUCGGUUAAUACCCGAUUGUUCUGACGGUACCCAAAGAAUAAGCACCGGCUAACUUCGUGCCAGCAGCCGCGGUAAUACGAAGGGUGCAAGCGUUACUCGGAAUUACUGGGCGUAAAGCGUGCGUAGGUGGUGGUUUAAGUCUGUUGUGAAAGCCCUGGGCUCAACCUGGGAAUUGCAGUGGAUACUGGGUCACUAGAGUGUGGUAGAGGGUAGCGGAAUUCCCGGUGUAGCAGUGAAAUGCGUAGAGAUCGGGAGGAACAUCCGUGGCGAAGGCGGCUACCUGGACCAACACUGACACUGAGGCACGAAAGCGUGGGGAGCAAACAGGAUUAGAUACCCUGGUAGUCCACGCCCUAAACGAUGCGAACUGGAUGUUGGGUGCAAUUUGGCACGCAGUAUCGAAGCUAACGCGUUAAGUUCGCCGCCUGGGGAGUACGGUCGCAAGACUGAAACUCAAAGGAAUUGACGGGGGCCCGCACAAGCGGUGGAGUAUGUGGUUUAAUUC
rnacentral:rRNA from 1 species